rnacentral:lncRNA from 1 species
UCUGCACCUGCCAUGGCGGUUGGGCUCAUGUGCUCCUCUGCAUUGGAGUUAGCCAAGGAGCGUGUGCAGAACACUUGCCUCGUAGGCCAGCCGUAAGGAAGGAUGUCCCAGGUGCAGGCGAAGUUUUGUUCAUGUGUUCCUGGAGGAUUUUUCCCGUGGCAAGCGCUUCUCCAUCCUCCAGCAUCUCAGGCCUGUGCACCAGCCUUCCUGUGCCCGUUGAUGGACUGAGAGGAAGAUGAGCCCUUAGGAUGCCUGCCAUGCUCACUGUUAAGGAACAACAGGUGACCCCACUGGACUGACCACCCAAUGAGGCCUUUGAACCUCAGGCCAGGGAGAGGCAGGUCUACAGGUGACAACUGUGAACAGCCCCAGCUGGGGACAACCAGAAAUCCCCAAGGCGACGAGUGGCUGAAAGUGAUGGAGCCCCCAGGCAGAGCCGAAACCCCACUGCAGGGUUUUCAAAAGAAACACAAAUGCAGGCAGCAUGGUGCACUACAGACUCCAGCCUCCCUUUGAAGCCAGGUUCCAGAGCUUCCUCCCUUUGGCCUGGAACCUCAACAGCAGGAUUGGGAUGAGGAUGGAAGUGUACAGAUAUGCAUAUAGUAUUGCUUAUCCCCAGCUGAAAUCAAUGUUGGCAUGACAUGUUGCAAAACCAAACUGACAUUGAACAUGACUUUUUUCAGCCCUUUAAAUAGCUGUUCACGUAGAACUUAGUUUUUUAUGGAAGACCUUGAUAAUCCUGUCUUUAGUUACUUUAGAAGUUAACUUCCUGGGUAGACUUGAAUUGAGUCUUAUUCAUCUUUAAAUUUCCAGGGUUUAGCAAAGUACCUGCUUCAGAGUAGGCGUUAAUAAAACUAAUGCCCUUCAAAUCAACAAGAGGAUUUCCUGUGAGGGGUGGUCCUGUUUUCUGACACUCAGAUGGCUCUGAGUAUGGCAUCUCAGAAAAAAGAAAGAAAGAAAAAAAAAAGAUUGGGCUGGGCGCGGUGG